rnacentral:rRNA from 1 species
GAGUUGCGAACGGGUGAGUAACGCGUAGGUAACCUGCCUGGUAGCGGGGGAUAACUAUUGGAAACGAUAGCUAAUACCGCAUAAAAGUCGAUAUCGCAUGAUAUUGAUUUGAAAGGUGCAAUUGCAUCACUACCAGAUGGACCUGCGUUGUAUUAGCUAGUUGGUGGGGUAACGGCUCACCAAGGCGACGAUACAUAGCCGACCUGAGAGGGUGAUCGGCCACACUGGGACUGAGACACGGCCCAGACUCC